AUGAUUAGCAGGGUCAUCGAUUCUAGCGGGGAGCAGUCGCUAGAGGAAACGGGGAAAGCGCAGUGAAAGUCUGCCACUGUCCCGCAACUGUGAAGAAGGUUAACGCCUCUGAGUCAGAAUGCCCGUCGAUGCAACAUUCAAGUU
rnacentral:ncRNA from 1 species